UACGAAGGGGGCUAGCGUUGCUCGGAAUCACUGGGCGUAAAGGGCGCGUAGGCGGAUCUUUAAGUCGGGGGUGAAAGCCCAGGGCUCAACCCUGGAAUUGCCUUCGAUACUGAAGAUCUCGAGACCGGAAGAGGUAAGUGGAACUGCGAGUGUAGAGGUGAAAUUCGUAGAUAUUCGGAAGAACACCAGUGGCGAAGGCGGCUCACUGGCCCGGUACUGACGCUGAGGUGCGAAAGCGUGGGGAGCAAACAGG
rnacentral:rRNA from 1 species